rnacentral:lncRNA from 1 species
GCCGCAGUCGGUGGUGCCGCCGCCGCCGCCGCCGCCGCCACGGGUCAGGCUCGCCUUCCUAGAGGCUCUGGGGACUUCCGGGGGAGCGCGUUACCCGGGCAACCGCCGCCGCCCCAGAGAGAGGACGCACCUGCUUCUAGCACGGGGUAGGGGACCCUUCUACCCUGACACCCCCUUCCCCUCCCUCCUAGUGGAGGAGCUGAGGCCAGAAGGAAUCUAAAGCGACCGCUUCCUCUCCCAGGAUUGGUUUCCCCGCUUUUUUCCUAGGUGGCGGGAGCGGGCAGAGGGAGCGUAGUACACGGCUUAGGCUUCCCCUUCCAAGAAUGACUGGGAGGACACCCAGCAGCCCCUGACGUCACCGCACCUGCCUCCUGGCCCCGCCCCCUCCGGUCUCUGCUACUUCUAUCUUCUAGCGGCCGCAUAAACCAGCUCUUCCGGGAGAAGAGGGGCAAGGAGUUGGACAGAUGAAGAUUAAAAAUUUCGGUGUUUGUGGAUUGUUUUCCUUCUUAAACAAAACUCCUGAGCUCGUGUUGGGUCGGCUUCUGACACAUACUAGCUCUAUGAUUCUGAUAAAUUACUUAACCUGUGUAUGUGGCCUGGCAAACUCCUUAAGAUUAACACUGGUAAGAUGCUGAAGACUAGAAAAGAGCACACGCUUAGAAUGCCUUUCUUUCAAAAAAGGAUAAUGAAUAUUGCCCCUGGAAAUACUCAUUAGGUAAACUUUUAUUCUUGGAAAAAUUCUGGACCUAUUGGCCUUGUAUAACUGAUUUUACUUUCUAAAGGCUAGUGUAAAAAUGCUGGAUCUUCUUGUUAAUUAUAAUAAAAUGGUUUUGGUUCACUGGUCA